CGCGCGCGGCGGGCGGGGCGGGGGCACGGGGGGGCACAAGCGGUGGAGCAUGUGGUUUAAUUCGAUGCAACGCGAAGAACCUUACCUACUCUUGACAUCCAGAGAAGCCAGCGGAGACGCAGGUGUGCCUUCGGGAGCUCUGAGACAGGUGCUGCAUGGCUGUCGUCAGCUCGUGUUGUGAAAUGUUGGGUUAAGUCCCGCAACGAGCGCAACCCUUAUCCUUGUUUGCCAGCGAGUCAUGUCGGGAACUCCAGGGAGACUGCCGGUGAUAAACCGGAGGAAGGUGGGGACGACGUCAAGUCAUCAUGGCCCUUACGAGUAGGGCUACACACGUGCUACAAUGGCGCAUACAGAGGGCAGCAAGCUAGCGAUAGUGAGCGAAUCCCAAAAAGUGCGUCGUAGUCCGGAUUGGAGUCUGCAACUCGACUCCAUGAAGUCGGAAUCGCUAG
rnacentral:rRNA from 2 species